rnacentral:misc_RNA from 1 species
GAUGAAUAACGCAGCGAAAUGCGAUAAGUAAUGCGAAUUGCAGAAUUUCCGUGAGUCAUCGAAUCUUUGAACGCACAUUGCGCCCCUCGGUAUUCCGUGGGGCAUGCCUGUUCGAGCGUCAUUUACCCCUCAAGCACUGCUUGGUGUUGGGCGUCUGUCCCGCUUCGCGCGCGGACUCGCCCCAAAGGUAUUGGCAGCGGUCGUGCCAGCUUCUCGCGCAGCACAUUGCGCUUCUCGAGGCGGUCGAUCGGCGUCCACGAAGCUCACCUCCACCGUUUGACCUCGGAUCAGGUAGGGAUACCCGCUGAACUUAAGCAUAUCAAUAAGCGGAGGA